UACGAAGGGGGCUAGCGUUGUUCGGAAUUACUGGGCGUAAAGCGCACGUAGGCGGUCUCUUAAGUCUGUGGUGAAAUCCUGGAGCUCAACUCCAGAACUGCCUUCGAUACUGGCGAUCUCGAGUUCGGGAGAGGUGAGUGGAACUGCGAGUGUAGAGGUGAAAUUCGUAGAUAUUCGCAAGAACACCAGUGGCGAAGGCGGCUCACUGGCCCGAUACUGACGCUGAGGUGCGAAAGCGUGGGGAGCAAACAGG
rnacentral:rRNA from 1 species